CUAUCUGAUAGUGGUUUGUUUCAGUGAAUAGAGUAAAUCUGGUCAUUGUUGUUCUGUCUUGACCAGAAAUGGAAAUCUGGCAUAUUUUAAAUGCUCAUUUACUUAGAAAAUGUGAAUAAUUGAAUAUUACAUUAAUAUCUAUAAGCUUAAAUGCAGGUAUUCCUUUAACAUAAUUUAUUCUUAAAAGUUUUAAAUGAAGUUAAAUUUUGCAUGUAAUCAAGAUGUUGUUAUUUGUUUAAGUCAGACAACAUUUGUGGGGUGCCUGGGUGGUUAAGUGACUGCCUUUGGCUCAGGCUGUGAUCCCAGGGUCCUGGGAUUGAUCCUUAUAUUGUGCUCCCUGCUCAGUGGGAAACCUGCUUCCCUUCUCCCUUUGCCACUCCUGCCCCUUGCUUGUGUGCUCUCUGAAAUAAAAAAUAAAAUAAUAAAAUAAAAUAAAAUAAAAUAAAAUAAAUAAAAUAAUAAUAAAAUAAAAUAAUAAAAUAAAUAAAAUAUUUUAGGAAGUCAGAUGUCAUUGUGAAAAGUUUCUUUGAUAGUUGCUAUUUUUCUUUUAUUUCUUACUUUCUCUUUGGGUUGCAGUUUCAGAAGUAUAAUCCACGAUUAAUAAGGAAGUAGAGGAAAUAAACUUUCUGGGAUUGUAAAUCAUUUUUUACUAAUACUAGUCUAAUCCUAUAAUAGAAAUAACGUUAAGUAUAUGCUAUAUAUGCAGUCAUUGAGUGACCUAAGAAAAUGUAGAUAGAAAUUCUCAUUUAACAGUUUUGACAAUUCAUUUGCAUUUAACUCAAAUCUUUGUACAACUUGUUUUUGUAGGAGUAAAGACUGUUUUUUUUUCCUGAUUAUUAGUUUUUUAAUACAUGCAGAGGAAUAUUACCAGUAAGAGCUUCCUUUCAACUCCUUAUGCUGGAGGUAUCAUGCAUCAAUAAUUUCAUAUUUGUUUCUAUGAAAACCAAGGAGAUUGGAACGUGUAAAGAUAAAGUACGUAGAAAUUAAUACAACAUUUCAUAUUCACAUUUACCAACAGACUUUUUGGCUUUACUCCUAAUUAAAUUCCUUUCAGUAAACAUCUAAUGGGCCCCUGCAAGGUACUGAAUAAUACAAUGAAACAUUCUUAUUACUUAGAGAU
rnacentral:lncRNA from 1 species